rnacentral:rRNA from 1 species
AGUUGCUAAGACUGGAUAGGAAAAGUAAAGGCAUCUUUACUUUUUUAAAAGACCUUCUUUGAAGGUAUGCUUAAGGAGGGGCUUGCGACACAUUAGUUAGUUGGCAGGGUAAAGGCCUACCAAGACUAUGAUGUGUAGCUGGACUGAGAGGUUGAACAGCCACAUUGGGACUGAGACACGGCCCAAACUCCUACGGGAGGCAGCAGUAGGGAAUUUUCGGCAAUGGAGGAAACUCUGACCGAGCAACGCCGCGUGAACGAUGAAGUACCUCGGUAUGUAAAGUUCUUUUAUUAAGGAAGAAAAAAGAGUGGAAAAACUCCCUUGACGUUACUUAAUGAAUAAGCCCCGGCUAAUUAUGUGCCAGCAGCCGCGGUAAUACAUAAGGGGCGAGCGUUAUCCGGAAUUAUUGGGCGUAAAGGGUGCGUAGGCGGUUUAAUAAGUCUAUAGUUUAAUUUCAGCGCUUAACGCUGUUGUGCUAUAGAAACUGUUUUACUAGAGUGAGAUAGAGGCAAGCGGAAUUCCAUGUGUAGCGGUAAAAUGCGUAAAUAUAUGGAGGAACACCAGAGGCGUAGGCGGCUUGCUGGGUCUUUACUGACGCUGAGGCACGAAAGCGUGGGGAGCAAACAGGAUUAGAUACCCUGGUAGUCCACGCCGUAAACGAUGAGUACUAAGUGUCGGGUAAAACCGGUACUGAAGUUAACACAUUAAGUACUCCGCCUGAGUAGUACGUACGCAAGUAUGAAACUUAAAGGAAUUGACGGGACUCCGCACAAGCGGUGGAUCAUGUUGUUUAAUUCGAAGAUACACGAAAAACCUUACCAGGUCUUGACAUUUUCUUGCGAAGUUAUAGAAAUAUAAUGGAGGUUAUCAGGAAAACAGGUGGUGCAUGGUUGUCGUCAGCUCGUGUCGUGAGAUGUUAGGUUAAGUCCUAAAACGAGCGCAACCCUUGUCGUUAAUUGCCAGCAUGUAAUGAUGGGGACUUUAACGAAACUGCCAAUGAAAAAUUGGAGGAAGGUGGGGAUUACGUCAAAUCAUCAUGCCCCUUAUGAUCUGGGCUACAAACGUGAUACAAUGGUUGAUACAAAGAGUAGCUGAAACGCGAGUUCUUAGCCAAUCUCACAAAAUCAAUCUCAGUUCGGAUUGAAGUCUGCAACUCGACUUCAUGAAGUUGGAAUCGCUAGUAAUCGCGAAUCAGCAUGUCGCGGUGAAUACGUUCUCGGGGUUUGUACACACCGCCCGUC